ensembl:lncRNA
AAUCUUAUUCGGUAUAAAAUGUAUUUCUUCCCGAUAUGUGAUCAACUUGCAACACCACUUGAAGUUAGCUUAACUGCCUGAGACCACCGCCCAACGUCUACUAUUCAAAUAUUUAGCUGGCUAUUCGUAUGACGUCACAAUUCUUCACAAGACCGUCUAGUAACGUGCAUAUUUAGCUUCGUAUUCACAAGGCUUCAUAUGGUUAUUUUCUUGAGAGACAUCAAGGGGGCAUCAACGACCUCCCUGCAGGGAAGAGACAAAUGAUGGAGAAGUUUUUCACUCCUGUUCAUAGUCCUCCUCCAGGUGGGAUCACAUCACAGAAGCACCGCCAUCACCGGGAUCAAGAAAAAGAGAUACACAGCUACAGGAGGUCACGGGACAAUGAUAGACGCAGCAGCGAACGCCACGUUCACCACCAUCACCGUGGUAACCAUUUCCAAGAUGACCAGGAGCAAUCCCAUAGACGUCACCAUCAUCAUCCUCAGCACCUUCAUCAUGACGACGAGAUGUCGGACCACCACACCACAGUCACCCUCUCCAGAGCAUCUUCCUCCUCCCUCUCAUCUUCCGACUCGUCCUCCUCCGACUCUUCCAUCGAAUGGUCUGGCAUUGACGACAAGUUCUCCCUGAAGCACGCCAGCCGGCCGCAGCAUACCAUGUCCUGCUCCAACAUUGCAGGAGGACGACAGUUCCGUGAGGAUGACAGUGAGCUGCAGGUGUAUGCCACGGUCAAACAGGGGCAACUGCACGGAGGAGGAAGCCCUGGGACCAACCAUCGGGCCCAGGGGAGGGGAGGACAAAAGCCCAGCUACUCCGAGCUCAACCGGGGCCACAGCCGCAGUGAAGAGGGGUUGCUGCAGAAUACAGGCACUGACAGAGGGAAAGCACGGACACCCCCACACCUGAAGCACGGACCCCUCUACAAGACAGCCAGCCUGGGCCGUAGCCUGGCCUUCAGUGAAGAGGUCCUGGCUGGGCCAAAGAGGGCAGUAUCCUCGAUCCAGCUCCCCAGUAAAGGCAUCCUGAAAAACAAGGAGGCGCCACCGGACAUCCGCAAGGCCAAAUCCAUGGAGGUGCUGUCCCCCCGUGUGGCAGGCAAGACAGCAGGGCCCAAGGGGAAGCAGGAUGUGGAGGCUCUGAAGGAUGCAGCCAGGCAGAGCAUGGUGAAGGGGAAGAUACAGUUCUCUGCCUUCCUGGAUGAGAUCACUAAACAGGUCAUCAGCCCCGCCCGUCUCAAUACUCUGGGGGUCCCUGUCGAGACUGUAGGACCGGGUCCAGCCAAAACCCCAGCAUCCCCCAAAUCUCAACUGAAAAGUCAGCCCCAGCUUCCCUUGAAAAAGCAGGGAGAUGGGCAGGGGGAGGAGAGGGAGACGGUUGCUAAACCUAGGAAACUGAGGAAUGACUCUGACACACGAUCACGGAAAAUAUCUCUCCCUACAAAGUUUGGGUAUGAAAGCAAGAACCACACUCCUCGUCUAGGCAGCCCCCCAACCCGCCACUCCAGCCAACCCUACCCGCCCCACCCACCGGCUGGCUAUGAAGACCAACCGGCCUCCCUGCCUGACUUCCAGGGUCCUGUCGGUAAUAGGCAUGGACGGUAUGGCUCCCUUCUUACAGACGGCACUGUCAGCUCCAGCCCUGAGCCCAGCCAUCACAAACACCGGAGCUACAAACACCUUGACCAGAGCCACAGGUCCACCCAUAGCCCACCUUCAUCUCCACACACCCAGCAACCCCAGCUACCCCACCGCACCCCAAUCCGCACACACUCCCCUCCUCCAGUGGCAGGACCCGAGUCGGAGUCUCCCUCCAGCAAGUCUGACUCAUCCCGGAACAGAGACCGAGACACGGCCAGCCCCAGCUCCGAGCAGAGCGACCGCCAUAACCGAUCAACCUACCGCUGGCGUCCAAAGCCACACAGGGCCUUGACAGGUGACAAAGGAGAACUCCAGGCACUGCAGGAGGAGAAUGCUGAGCUGCACCAGAACCUGAUGCAAACAGUGGUCUGCAUUGAGAGUCUGGAGGCGGAGCUAGCCAGGGCCAGGGAGGAGCUUAGCCACAUGAAGGAGAAGUUCAAGAGACUCCAGGACACACACACAGGUACCCAGCACACCAACAGCCUUCUGGGGGAGAAACUGCACUCAGCGACUGAGAGCCUUAGCUCUGAGAGGAAGUAUAUGGUGCAGCGUAUCGCCCAUCUCAGCACAGAGCUGGAGCAGGCCAACGCCACCAUCGCCUCUCUGGAGAACAUCAAUGUUCCCUGUCUGAUCAAGGAGCUCAUAGAGAAGCACUUUGACUCUGGAGACACUGUCAAGCAGUUCCUGAAGAACGCCUUGAAAACCGGCCAAUCCACAAGCGACAUCCAAUCACCCGCUACAAAACUGGAGCAGAAGCCGUCUGAUUGGUCAGGUGCAGGACUCAGGGAGUUUGAGGCGGGUCCACAAAAGGUCACUGCUUUUAUGCCCUGGAAGCAGGAGGAGGGGUUUGGGGUGAUAGGUCAGACAGGAAAUGAGGAUUCUCGCCCGAUGAGUCCCCCUUUCUCCGUCGCUGACAUCAGUAUGGCUAUCUAUAAGAAACUAGCUGCCAGCCAAGCGGCAAGACAGCCCCGGCCUUCCAACUACCAACCUCACACUGACACCCCUCCCAACCCCUACCCUCUGGUGGAGUUGGGAAAAGGGGGUGCAGAAGGUGCAUGGGAGGAGGGUUACCUUGUGCCUGCUGUCAAGGGGGGCGUGGCAGUUGCAGGGAGAGCAGCUGAGAGUAAGCAGGGUGCUGUUGUUGAUGUGUCCUAUCUGACGGCCCAGAGGGUUCUGGAUGACUUCAUGCACCAGCUGACACACCCAGAGGAUGGGAGCGGUGGGGAGAGGGGGCACAAGGCCAACGGGGGAGGGGGAACAGCUGAAGAGAGGGGGGCGGAGUGA